rnacentral:rRNA from 1 species
GACGAACCGUCCAAACGUUAUUCGGAAUUACUGGGCUUAAAGGGUGCGUAGGCGGCGCGGUAAGUUGGGUGUGAAAUCCCUCGGCUCAACCGAGGAAUUGCGCUCGAUACUGCCGUGCUCGAGGGAGACAGAGGUGAGCGGAACUUAGGGUGGAGCGGUGAAAUGCGUUGAUAUCCUAAGGAACACCAGUGGCGAAAGCGGCUCACUGGGUCUCUUCUGACGCUGAUGCACGAAAGCUAGGGUAGCAAACGGG